GUGUCAGCAGCCGCGGUAAUACGGAAGGUCCAAGCGUUAAUCGGAAUUACUGGGCGUAAAGCGCGCGUAGGUGGUUUAUCAAGUUGGUUGUGAAAGCCCCGGGCUUAACCUGGGAACUGCAGCCAAAACUGAUUCACUAGAGUACGAAAGAGGAAAGUAGAAUUCACAGUGUAGCGGUGGAAUGCGUAGAUAUUGUGAAGAAUACCAGUGGCGAAGGCGACUCCCUGGCCAAAGACUGACGCUCAUGUGCGAAAGUGUGGGUAGCGAACAGGAUUAGAUACCCUGGUAGUCCACACCGUAAACGCUGUCUACUAGCUGUGUGUGUCUUUAAGACGUGCGUAGCGAAGCUAACGCGCUAAGUAGACCGCCUGGGGAGUACGGCCGCAAGGUUAAA
rnacentral:rRNA from 1 species